GGUAUCGCCGUUAGUCAUGUGCAAAUAUGGAUAGCUGUUUUAGCCGUCUUUAUUGACUGGUUUAUAAGAGUUAUCAGAUAUCACUUUGAUUAAAUUAGAGUGCUUAAAGCAAGUGUGUUACUUGGAUAUAAAUGCAUGGAAUGAUGGAGUAUGUUGUUAUUCUAUUUGUUGGUUUUUGAAUGAUAAAAUGAUUGAAAGGAACUGUUGGGGGCAUUCGUAUUGUUGUGAGAGAGGUGAAAUUCUUAGACCACAGCAAGACGAACUACUGCGAAAGCAUUUGCCAAGAAUGUUUUCAUUGAUCAAGAACGAAAGUUAGAGGUUCGAAGGCGAUCAGAUACCGCCCUAGUUCUAACCAUAAACUAUGCCAACUAGCAAUUUGCUUUGUAUUUUUUAUGACUAAGUGAGAGGCCACGGGAAACCUAAGUAGGGUUAUGGGGGAAGUAUGGUUGCAAAGCUGAAACUUAAAGGAAUUGACGGAAGGGCACCACCAGGAGUGGAGCCUGCGGCUUAAUUUGACUCAACACGGGAAAACUUACCUGGUCCUGACACUAGAAGGAUUGACAGAUUGAUAGCUCUUUCUUGAUUUGGUGGAUGGUGGUGCAUGGCCGUUCUUAGUUGGUGGAGUGAUUUGUCUGGUUAAUUCCGAUAACGAACGAGACUCUAGCCUAUUAAAUAAUACACGUAAUUUUAUCUUCCGCGGUAUUUCUUAGUGGGAUCAAGCG
rnacentral:rRNA from 1 species